GCACACACCUGUCUGUAAACUGCAAAUGAUGUGCGCACCCUGCAGGACAAAGAUUGAAUUUCUGGGACUUUGGGAUCUUAUGCCAAGUUUUCCAAGAAAACAGGGAACUGCAAAGAUGCCGUGAUCUGAACAAAUGUUGCCGGUGGUGCCAGCCAAGAAAUCUUAAAUUGAUACUGAUCCUGUGAGGGGUUCAAGAUGAGAUUGGCAGAACCGAGAUGAUCUAAGUAAACUUCCAGGGGCUCUUUCCCUACAAAGGCCAGGAUCCAGGCCCAUCAUGUCUUUUCCUUACAAUGAUAUUCUUGAAAAUCCUGACUACCACUAUUCCGAAACAUUGGAAAUCGAC